GCCACAGAUGUGGACAUUUCAGCCUUGGAGGCAGUGGUGCAGCUUGCUGAGCCAUACCUCUGUGAAUCUUGAGCGAGUACUUUCACCUUGGAGUGUAUGAAAGAGCUCCUCGAGCUGAAGGAACAUCAGUUGCCCCUGCAGGAGCUGGGUGGUGUUUGAUGAUUCUGGAGUGUUUGACCAGACAGCACUUGUAACUGAGCAUGUCAGCUAGGAAGGAGGUAUCUGGUCAGAGAAGGUGUUUUCUGAGGCUGCCUACUGGAUCCCUAGGGGUUGUGUUCCUGCCAUUCAGCCUAUUUGGCAGUUAUUUCCACCUGUACAAACAGACCCUUUGUCCCUUACAUGAGAAAGAAAGCCCACACCUGGAUUCAUAUUAAUAGAAUGUCCCCUGCCCAGGACAGGGCCCCAGCUGACCUCCCUCAUCAGGGGCUGCUGGCCCACUACCUGGCACCGCGAAGAGUAGCCCCCACAGGGCUGGCCUUUUUCUUUUACGAAGGACCCAGCCAUGUGAUGUCACUAUCCUCACACAAUCCUGUGGCCUGGCAUCAGUUUACAGAAGACAGUUUGGAUCGUCACAGGGCAGGCCCUGGGGGAAAGGUCAUGUGUGGCCUCCUGGAUUCCCUUUAUCAGCCCUGUGCAGAGGAGCUCUCCGGACUAAGCCGCUUCUCUGUUUUUGUACCAGUCCCUGUAACAGGCUUCUGUGAGGUGGGAGCAGCUGAGGAUUGCAGUUUCCUUCAAGGCCUAAUGAGGUGAAAGGGGCCUGGGGGUGGUUCAGGUCAGUGUGCUUGGAGCGUGUCCAUCUUCCAGGAGAGAAUUAUAUGGACAGUCACCUCAGGUUUCCUUUGUAGACACGCUCUAAGGUGUGUUUAAGUUUGCGUGGCUAAAGGCUGUUGGGGCACAGGCUGGAGCCCAGUCCAGAGCUCCCUGCAGCCGCCUGAAAGCAGGUCUCUUAAUGGCGUCUCUGGGUGGGUGACAGCUGAGCCCUUCACUGACUGGCUAGAUCAUUGUCCACCUCCUCAUGGCACUCUGUGUCCUCAGAACCACACAGGUUAUUUAACUGAAGGCUGUAAGAUCUUCUGCAUCAAGGGUUUGUGCUGGAAUCAAAGUCUUCUCCAGUUUGGCUAUUUUAUUGUUCUCACCUUGUUUUCACCUCAUCAAGAUUCACUGUUUGUAUUUCUGUUGUUAUGUUUCAUAUCAACAGUUUUUAGAUGAGAUUAUAAAAUUAUCUGCGUGUGAAAUGAAGGAAAUGGUUAGAAGGCCUUUGGGUACUUUCAAACAAAGUGAGGGGAGAAGGGAGGGAGGAGGGAUAGAGUGAGAACUGUGUGAUAUGUGUGUGCACACGGUCAUGUGUGUGAAGCAUGAGCAUGUGGCCUGUGUUUAAGGUCCAUGGGGAGGAUUGUUUUUCUAUCUUUUUUUUUUUAGACUGAUCUCGCUCUGUUGCCAGGCUGGAGUGCAGUGGCACGAUCUCAGCUCACUGCAGCCUCCACCUCCCGGGUUCAAGUGAUUCCCCUGCCUCAGCCUCCUGAGUAGCUGAGACUACAGGCAGCGUCACCACGCCUGGCUUAUUGUAUUGUAUUGUAUUGUAUUGUAUUGUUGUAUUUUUGUAUUUUAGUAGAGACGGGGUUUCACCAUGUUGGCCGGGCUUGUCUCAAUCUCCUGACCUCAUGAUCCACCCGCCUCGGCCUCCCAAAGUGUUGGGAUUCCAGGUGUGAGCCACCGCACCCAGCUGUAUUUCUGUCUUUGUUUACGGUUUUGUUGAUCUGCUUCCUAAUUCUUUUAUAUACUUCUCUUCCAUAAUCUUCAUAAAGAAUCCUUUAGGGCUAUUUCAUUCCAUUUCUAUAGCCAGUCCUGUGCUUACAUAGUCACUGGGCUCCUGCCCACCCCCAUCCCAGCUUCCAUCCACAAAAGGUCAAAUAAAAGAAAGGCCUCCAUGGGGACUGGUGCCUAUCAGAGGGUCUCAGGCAACUGAACAGUUUAGGGCUAGAUGUGAUUUAAGAUAUAGCUUGAUCCAUGGCUCAAAUGGUAUGACAGAAUGGAAUCUCUCUCCAUUUGAUGACUUUGCUUCUUAAAGAACUGUCCAGUUCCUGACAUUUGUCAUCCUUUGGUUGCAAAAUGGCCAUUAGCUAUUUUUUUUUUUUUGUCAGCAUUUCCUUCUGGGCACAAAUCUAGCCUUUCUAGCAAUGUUCUGAGAUCCACUCUGAAAGGACUGACUUGAUUUCUAUGUCCACCUGAGCCAAUCAUAUGUCACUGGGGGAAGGGGGUCGUUGAUUGGCCAGGCUAGGGUUGUAAGCUCUGCCUCUAAACUUGUGGGGCAGUCAGUUCCAGCAACAGCUUACAGAGCAGGGGCAUGGUGGUCCUUCCGAAAGGAAUGGUCAUUGCUGAGCAGCACGAUAAAAAAGGUAAUUGUGCCGUUUACCAUCUCUCGGACUUACUAUCUUAUUUACAGACAAGGAAACUAAUGGUAUCUACCUCCUAGGGAUGUUAUAAAAAUGAAAUAAAAUUAUCCAUGUAAAACAUUUAGUUCAUUGCUUGACCCUUAGGAAGCUUCUAAUAGAUGUUCUCUGUUAUGCUAAUUAUUACCUCUUAUCCUUAAAGAUUUGGUUUCUUCCAGACAAACCACAUCUGUGUGAAUGAAACUGAGGCUAACAUGAAGCCGCUCAUCUUGUGGGGCCAAAUUGAGGGGCAUAGGCAUAGUCGUUAGGAGUGAUCCUUGGGGAAAAGCUUCCAGGAGGAGUGCUCCUUGUUCUGAGCCUGGAACAAAGAAACAGGUUAUAAGGAAUCCUAGUGAAACCAGUGACCACCAAUGAAAGAAAUCCCAGCCAAAGUGGAUUCAGGGAACAGAAAGUAUUGGCUGCUGUAGCUGAACAGCUUGAGGGCUAGGGUUGACUUCAGGUGGUCUUAUGGAGGGUAAAAGCCUCCUCAGAAUUCAGCUUAUGUCUUUAUUUAUGUACUCAUUUAUUCUUUUAGCUGUAGAGACAGGGUCUUGCUACAUUGCUCAGGCUGGUCUCAAACUCCUGAGCUCAAGCGAUCUCCCACCUCACCCUCCCAAGUUACUGGGAUUACAGGUGUGAGACACCACAACUGUCUCUGGACAGGCAGUUGACACAUUUCCACCACAAACAUGCUCAUUACAAAACCCAGUAGAAGGCCGGGUGCAGUGGUUCCCGCCUGUCAUCCCAGCACUUUGGGAGGCUGACGCGGGUGGAUCAACUGAGGUCAGGAGUUCAAGACCAGCCUGGCCAACAUGGUAAAACCCCAUCUGUACUAAAAAUACAGAAAAUUAGCUGGGCAUGGUGGUGGGCGCCUGUAAUCCCAGCUACUUGGGAGGCUGAGCGAGAAGAAUCACUUCAACCCAGGAAGCAGAGGUUGCAGUGAGCCGAGGUUGCACCAUCUCAAAGAAAACCUCCAUCUCAAAAAAAGAAAAAAAAGCAAAGAACAAAAAAACCCCACAAAACCCAGAAGAGGAAAGUUCCUUGUAACUUUUCCCUCUUCCUUCCCAACCCCGGGGUAGUCACUGUGAGCAGUUGCUACUGUGUUUCUCCAGGUGCUCUCUGUGCCUGUGGUAAUAUAUGAAUGGUAGGUAAUAUGGUUCAGUGAGAUCAUCUGUGCAUGUUGUUAGGCAAUUUUCUGUUGCACUUCAUAGACCUUGGUUAUUUUACUGCCUUACUAGUGUAGAUAUGCUUUGUCAUAUCUAAUGUCUGUAUGGUAUUCUCAGGAAUGAAUGUAGCCUAAUGUGUUUAAUCAGUGUGGGCAUGGGGCAUGGUUUGGAAUGAUGCAGGUGAGUGACGAGAAUCCAGUGCAGGCUUGUGGAGAGAGCCGCAUGCCAUCUCAGCCAUGAAAAUGUCAGCAUUGUCACAUCAGGGGAAGGACGGGGCGUAGCUCAUGUCGUCCAGGCCACAGUUUGCUGCCCCCUGACAAAUCAGACUCCCCAGAGGCAUCAGUGAAACCUCAUUACCAGUGGCGGGUUAAUGAGCAGCUGGAGCUGCUGUGGUGGAGCUCAAAAAAAUUACGAAGAUGUCAUCAGAGAAGCUCAAGGCCCUUUCACAGGUGUCAUCCCCUGUACGAGAUCUGAAAGGAUGAAAAUGUUAUGAUCAUUAUUACUCUGCUAAUAGCUAAACAAUAAGAGAAAAAAGCAAUCACCUACCAAAGAUCCUUGCAACUCAAAAUUGUGCUGGAAGGACACUGUGGCUUUAUAAAAAGCCACUCCUCAAAGUCAAACACCAUAGCUUGCUGAGAGAGAAGCAGAAAAUCAAUUAUUAAUGCAGCCCUAGCCUGGCUUGUGCUUCUCAUAGAGAACCAGAUCUUUUAAUAGGGGAGGGAAAUCAGUGAGGGUGUAGGGGAAAUGGUAAUAAACAAAGAUGAAACCCUACUGCAAUCAUGUGCUGCCUGUCAUGGGAGAGCAGAAACAACGUUCAAAGACCGAGGGAAUAGUAAAAUGGAAACAAGCAAAAGAGCCUUGCAUUGAGAUGAAGUAGUAAUCAGGCUGCCUUCAUGAGCCUUCUUGGUCAUUUAGCUAAAUGCGUAAACACACUUCUAAUGUAGGGUCCUUUCCUCCGCUUCUAAGUAGCUUCCCUGUAGCUAUGUAAGGGCAAAAGGGGAAUUUUUAAAACAUUUUUCUUUUUUAAAUUUUAUUUCAAUAGCUUUUAGGGGUACAGGUGUUUUAUGGUUACAUGGAUAAAUUGUAUAGCAGUAAAGUCUGUUCUUUUAGUGCACUGUCACCCAAAUAAUGUAGCAUACCCCAUAGGUAGUUUUUAUCUCUGCCCCCUCCCACCCUCCC
rnacentral:lncRNA from 1 species